UACGUAGGGUGCGAGCGUUAAUCGGAAUUACUGGGCGUAAAGCGUGCGCAGGCGGUUUUGUAAGCCAGAUGUGAAAUCCCCGGGCUUAACCUGGGAAUGGCAUUUGGGACUGCAAGGCUUGAGUGCGGCAGAGGAGACUGGAAUUCCUGGUGUAGCAGUGAAAUACGUAGAGAUCAGGAGGAAUACCGAUGGCGAAGGCAGGUCUCUGGGCUGAUACUGACGCUCAUGCACGAAAGCGUGGGAGCAACAGG
rnacentral:rRNA from 1 species